AACUUUCGGCAAUGGAUCACUUGGCUCUCGCAUCGAUGAAGAACGCAGCGAAAUGCGAUACGUAAUGCGAAUUGCAGAAUUCAGUGAGUCAUCGAAUCUUUGAACGCACAUUGCGCCCUGUGGUAUUCCGCAGGGCAUGCCUGUUCGAGCGUCAUUUCAACCCUCAAGCUCUGCUUGGUGUUGGGCCCUGCCCGCUCGCGGCCGGCCCUAAAGACAGUGGCGGUGCCGUCUGGCUCUAAGCGUAGUACAUCUCUCGCUCUGGUGCCCGGCGGCGUCCUGCCAGAACCCCCAACUCUGUGGUUGACCUCGGAUCAGGUAGGGAUACCCGCUGAAUUUAAGCAUAUCAAUAAGCGGAGGCU
rnacentral:misc_RNA from 1 species